ensembl:lncRNA
CGUGAUCUUACCAUGCUGUUUCAAAACCACAAAACGCUGUGGGGGUGUUUGCGGAUUUGCACAUCUCUUAUACUGCACCAUUGUAUGGUCAAGAUGAAGCCUAACGUGGUGGCUGGUUAUCUCACAUCAGCUUAAUGCAAGCUCCUUCUCACUGCCUGCCCUGAGCACACCAUCAAGCAUUGGUGCUCAGACACGUCAGGAGGAGGUACUGUGCAAACGCCCUGCAAAGGGAUUCUGCAGGUAGAAGACAAGAGACAAUGAGACGUACAAGGGCAGCAAUAAUGGGCUACUUAGGUCAAAGUUUUCUUCCUUGAUACUACGAUGCAGCCCCAAAGUCUCAUUCUACACAGACCCCAUCCCACACACCCAAAUCUCAGACUCAUCAGAAUGCAGAUGACCACAGCUUGCUGCAGUGCUGCACUCAGCCUUCUCCUGCAUUAUUUAUGGUUAUUCUCUUUGGGAAAGAAAAUAAACAACAACAACAAACAACAAAAAACAACAAAUAGUUUACACGCUUUUAAAACUCAUAAAUAUAACAAACCCAAGGCAAUUUGGCAAACCUGCCUUAUGGCUGGUGGCCCACCUUGGGCCUGCUCAUGUGGUCGUGCUGACAUGUCUUUCUACCUCCAAGGAAUCUGUCACUUGGAGCCAAUCUAUCACAGUGACACACCGCUCAGAACACUUCUUUCUCUUUAUUCAUCCAUUACUUCACUUCCUGCCAUCCAUCUCCCUUGAGAUUUCUUUUCCUUAUUUUUAAUACCUGUGCCAAGUUGUAUCGCUGCCAUCUAUUUACCCACUGUGAUCAUCAGACUAAAACCAGAAAGAGACUGAAGCCAUCGGGCCAAAAUCUGAUUACCUGCAUCUCUUUUUAUUCACGUAUCAUUGAUGGUAUCUGGAGAACUGAACGUGCACUGAGUUUGAAUGAAUACAUUUCACAUAUGAGUGAGUUAAACAGAGAAUUCUGCUUCACAGGUACUGGGGGGAGGGGAGGGGGAAUGACGGUAUUAGCUUAGAUUUCCCAAAAAGCUCUAGAAAAAAACCCUGAGAUUUUUUUUAUCUAUCUAUCUAUCUAUCUAUCUAUCUAUCUAUCCAUCCGUCCAUCCAUCCGUCCAUCCAUCCAUAUAUAUUCUGGAAAUGUUCUGUUUAUUCUCUGGGGAUUGUGACCUUGGGGUGAACCCCACGGAGACCCCACAUUUUCAAGAUGUUCUUUGUUAUCACAUGUUUUAAGAUUACUUUACAGGUCCACGGAAGAAAAGCUUCUCAUACAACCAUUUGUUUCUCUAAGAACUUCAGUUCUAAAUGAAACAUCAAAUAUCGUGGGAGCUGGUAACCCGAAACCCAACAGUUUGUAUCAAGAAACUGCUUGAUACAACAGUGAGUGCUCUGAAAGCAGGCAUUCAUUUCCAGAAGUGCCAUCAGCUGGCCACGUAUUGAUACGUCCCCAGAACUCAUGAAGUUUGCAGACAUGCAUCCUUAGACAGGCACUACUGAAUUAGAGCAUUUUCCCUCUUUUCUCAGAAAUGCACGGAUGGAAUUUCCAUAAUGUAUUGCAGAUAACACACAAUUCCACGUAAAGCCUGAAUAAAUACAAUCAGUGUUCCUUGAAUGAAUGUUGAUAAGGAGCAGGGCAGGAGAGCGGCUGACAGGCUGCCAUGCUGGGCCAGAGCCCAUCUGCACCCACCCACGGGGUAGGACAGCGUAUGUGCGAGAUGUCCUCUGGCUGUGGAGGGACAUCCCAAAGGAAAAGCUGGAGAGCCCAUUCCUUAGGCUACACAGGUGAAUCUAUGGAUGAUGAUUUUUGUCCUUCCUAUUUCGUAUUAUCAGUAGCACGCUUUUGCUAGGCGGAGCAUCAGGUGAGCUAAACGUGUUCAUGGUCUUCACUAGCACAAAUUCAGUGCAGAGCUGUACAGAAAUUAGGGGACAGCCUGCAACACCCCCGGGACAAGCAAACUGGGGUUUGCACUGUGGUAUGCAUGUGGGCUUCACACACUGUCAAUCCUUUCUUUGUUUCCUGAAAUUUCAAGCUCCUUGCAAGCCCUUAGCUAUAUAAUGCCUUAUUUUAGCAUAACUGUUCCUGAUAAAUCCCUGUAGAUACCAAAAUAUGUGAAAAGCAGCUUAGCCCUGGGGAACACCCCCAGUCCCUCAUUAGAAAAAGAUGGGGUAGAGUAUCUUAAAGCAAACAAAAAAAGUGAUGUCCCUGUUAUAGAAUUCCGCGACUUGAGGUAAACCAACCCUAGCCCAGGAAACUGUAUCCUGGGUUACUCAUUCGGAGUAUUCCUCCCUGAGCGGCUGCUUGUUUGUGUACGGCUGCCCCGGGCUAUUGCUGCAAAAUUCCUCGUGCUGAAGCAACUCCAUUCAUACGGGCAGGGCCUGAAAUAACGCACAGCCAGGCUGACUCCCAGCCCAACACGGGUAGCUGCAGUUACAGCCCGACUGAUCCGAGUUCAGUCAUCUUUACACACAGCACUAUCUAUUGAAUUGAAAACACAGGGAAACAAAGCUGGAGGGAGAAACUGCCAGUGUUUGUCUACGUUGUGCAUCCAGCAGACCUCCCCCACAUCUCAAAGGGUUAUAGAAUGUAUUAACUGAGCUUCAGAAUGCCUAAUAAGUACGUAAUUGCAGACUAAUUUCCCCUUUCCUAGACGUGAAUUUACAGUGGUGGCAAAAAAGGAAUGAAGCAAACAAACAAAAAGCACAGUUUUCUUCAAACUUGAAAGUGCUGAGAGCUGAUGCUGUCGCGGUGAGCUGUGCUGGUGGGGGUUUGGCACAAGAAGGGCAACUUGGAGCAGGUAAUGGCUGGGUGCCCCCAGAGCCGCCUACGCCUGCUCCAGCCCCAUGCCCAUCCCCUGUGCCCACAAACGAUUUCUUUGUGUCUGUGGUCUGAGGAAAUGAGCCAGCUGAGUUAGCAACUUCUUUGCUGGCUGUUUCUCAGUGACUGCAGCAUAAAAAGCACAGGAGAAAGGAGGGAGCACCUAGCUGUGUUGCUGUUCAGUGCUGAUGCUAAAUGCCAUCAGGCUAAAGCUGGCUCCAUGAACAUGGAAACCCAUCCAAAGUCUCAUGCCACCCAAACUAAAGGCUUCUCCCAUCUUUAUGCAGUAACUUCACCCUGAGAGAAAACACCGCUUCUCCUGAUUGCAUCUUUGUCGUCUUCUGCGAAUAACUGAUUGCCCGAGAUAGAAGGGGAAAUGAGGGUGACAGCCUGCUUGCUGGUCAGACAGUCUCUAAUGGAGGCCACAAAGAUGGCGAUCUGGCGCACACACGGUGUGUGAUGAGCAGCUGAGCUCCCUUUGUUUGUUCAGCCUGGAGCAGAGACUGAGGGGAGGCCCAGCAAUGGCUGCAGCUCCUCAUGGGGCAAUGGG